rfam:Ricinus communis cultivar Hale ctg_1100012353706, whole genome shotgun sequence.
AAUCUAUGGUGCGAGAAACAUCGAAGCAAGUCCUUGUAUCUCUUCCAGGCAUCAUACAUGCUUUCGUCAUCGAACUGCACAAAUGAAGAUAUGUCAUUUCUUAAUUU